rnacentral:rRNA from 1 species
AGCGAACGCUGGCGGCAGGCUUAACACAUGCAAGUCGAGCGGGCAUCUUCGGAUGUCAGCGGCAGACGGGUGAGUAACACGUGGGAACGUACCCUUCGGUUCGGAACAACUCUGGGAAACUGGAGCUAAUACCGGAUACGCCCUUAUGGGGAAAGGUUUACUGCCGAAGGAUCGGCCCGCGUCUGAUUAGCUAGUUGGUGGGGUAACGGCCUACCAAGGCGACGAUCAGUAGCUGGUCUGAGAGGAUGAUCAGCCACACUGGGACUGAGACACGGCCCAGACUCCUAAGGGAGGCAGCAGUGGGGAAUAUUGGACAAUGGGCGCAAGCCUGAUCCAGCCAUGCCGCGUGAGUGAUGAAGGCCUUAGGGUUGUAAAGCUCUUUUGUCCGGGACGAUAAUGACGGUACCGGAAGAAUAAGCCCCGGCUAACUUCGUG